GUAAGGAAUAUUGGUCAAUGGACGAAAGUCUGAACCAGCCAUCCCGCGUGCAGGAUGAAGGUCCUAUGGAUUGUAAACUGCUUUUAGCAGAGAAGAAAAGCAUCCUUUUAAGGGUGUCUGACGGUAUCUGCGGAAUAAGCACCGGCUAACUCCGUGCCAGCAGCCGCGGUAAUACGGAGGGUGCAAGCGUUAUCCGGAAUCACUGGGUUUAAAGGGUGCGUAGGCGGAAUAUUAAGUCAGUGGUGAAAGCCUGUCGCUUAACGAUAGAACUGCCAUUGAUACUGAUAUUCUUGAAUUGGGUUGAGGUUAGCGGAAUGUGACAUGUAGCGGUGAAAUGCAUAGAUAUGUCAUGGAACACCAAUUGCGAAGGCAGCUAGCUGGGCCUUGAUUGACGCUGAGGCACGAAAGCGUGGGUAGCGAACAGGAUUAGAUACCCGAGUAGUCC
rnacentral:rRNA from 1 species